rnacentral:lncRNA from 1 species
GGGAGAGAAGAAGCGUGGGGGAAGGGUAGGGAUAAGUCCAAGCAAGCACACAUGGUGGGUGGAAAUGGCGGAGACCGAGGGUUGGCCCAGAGUUCGGUUUGCUUUGCCUUCUUAUCGCAGCACAAGCAGACGACGACGCGGGGAGUGCGGACGCUCGCUCUCUUUUUCUUUCCCAGCUGGGAUUCACCUCUGCCUUCCCCCACCCCAGGGAUGGCCAUGGCCAUGGUGGUGCCUUCUUGGCCCUCGCAACCUGUUCUUGUUCUUGUCUUACUUGUUUGGUGAAAGCUCAUCACAGCUUCACUGUACCAACUCCAUUUUGGUUGCAUGGCCACCCUGCAACUCCAUUUCAGCUUCUUCAAGAAACAUGAGUUCUUGCAACUGAUCAAUAUCACUAGCAAUACGUAUGCAG